UCAUUGUCCGCAUUUGAGUGAACUUGAUUCAUCGUCAACAUCAGUCAAGGUACAUUGGUAUAAGUUCUUCUCUUUCUACCACUCACAUUUUUCUUGGAAUGAUGGAUAGACCGAGUACGCGUGGUCCCCUUUUUUCUCCACACUUCCUACUGUGCCCUUGUCACCCGCCUUCCAUGCAGCCACUCAGAGGCCUGGGUUAACUGCGGGGCAUGAAUCGAGGAGCGCAUGCGCGCAUGCAAGGCUAGAGUUGAGGCGAUUUGGUAGGAAGAGCCAAUCAACUGCAUGCAAUUAACAAUGGCCAGCAUCGUAUCUCACGUAGAAGCAGGGGCAAAUUGGUCCAGAAGUAAUCCAUUCUUUCCUUGGUAUGUGUGCGAGAAGUUAUACGCAGAGUAAAAAAAAUCGGAGGGAGUACUCUAUCCGCUCUGUAAGUUAAGAGGUCUACACGUUUUAGGAAUUUAGUUUUAUCACCUGUUAGACCUGGAUUAAGUGGUGAAACUGGAAAUUUCAAGUAUCAAAUUGAAAAACUUGAUAUCAGCAAUACAGUAUUCAGGACAACUAAAUAGUAGUCUCUAUGUUGCCUGAAGUUUUACCAGCUUUCGAGUUUUCCAUCUUGAUGAUGUUUUCACAACGUUUAUUAGCCAUGUGGAUCAAAUUUGUCUUGGUACUUGCCGGAAUGUUAGUGUACAGCAUAUUAUCCAAGGACACCAUUGGAAAAUGACUAACUUGGUUUUCUUUUGUUUCAGGGUUAUGAUAUUAGCUUCCUCAUAACAAACUACCACUGUGAGGACAUGCACAAGCAUAAGCUCAUAGAUUUCAUUGUUCAGUUUAUGGAGGACAUUGACAAGGAGAUCAGCGAGCUGAAGCUGUCGGUGAACACACAUGGCCGGCUGGUGGCAACCGAGUUCCUAAAGCAGUUCAUCUGAUCCGACUUCUCAUCGCGGAAGGACCAACUCUCCAUUGGGAGUUUCUCGGCCUCCUCCCUGGAGGUGUAGGGUGCUUUCUCAGGGUAAUGAGCUUCUGGAGUACUGGUGCACCCAGUCGAUGACAAAUGCAAGGAAUAGUGUGUGUCCUGCUAGGAGCCAUGAGCUGUUAGAAGUGUGGUGCCAGGUUUAACUAUGAAUGUGUAUUCUACUCUACUUAUUGUUUGAUAGAGGGCAAUAUAUUAGUGUAUUAGACAUAGGGGAAAUGGAGUUCUGCAUUCAUCAAAGUAUAUCCUUAAUGCCUGGAAAUAAUCUUUGGAGGUCCGUCUUCCUCAUUUUAGUUCUGAAUCUUCCUAUGUAUGAACUGUAAUUUCAAGGAAUAUUUGUGCACUUGUAUGGAUACAGUACACUGUAUGCUACAGAGUACAGACCCAUAUACCAAGUCCAAUAGUAUACCAUGACUUGAGACUUUCCCAUGAAAUAAUUACUUCAACUGCAACUGAUUCAUGAAA